UAGGGAAUCUUCCGCAAUGGACGCAAGUCUGACGGAGCAACGCCGCGUGAGUGAAGAAGGAUUUCGGUUCGUAAAACUCUGUUGUUAGAGAAGAACAGCGCAUAGAGUAACUGUUAUGCGUGUGACGGUAUCUAACCAGAAAGCCACGGCUAACUACGUGCCAGCAGCCGCGGUAAUACGUAGGUGGCAAGCGUUGUCCGGAUUUAUUGGGCGUAAAGCGAGCGCAGGCGGUCAAUUAAGUCUGAUGUGAAAGCCCCCGGCUCAACCGGGGAGGGUCAUUGGAAACUGGUUGACUUGAGUGCAGAAGAGGAGAGUGGAAUUCCAUGUGUAGCGGUGAAAUUCGUAGAUAUAUGGAGGAACACCAGUGGCGAAGGCGACUCUCUGGUCUGUAACUGACGCUGAGGCUCGAAAGCGUGGGUAGCAAACAGG
rnacentral:rRNA from 1 species